GACGAACGCUGGCGGCGUGCUUUACACAUGCAAGUCGAGCGGCAGCGCGGGCGAGGGUAACCUUGUCUGGCGGCGAGCGGCGAACGGGUGAGUAAUGUAUCGGAACGUACCCCGUCGUGGGGGAUAACACAUCGAAAGGUGUGCUAAUACCGCAUACGACCUGAGGGUGAAAGCGGGGGAUCGCAAGACCUCGCGCGAUGGGAGCGGCCGAUAUCGGAUUAGCUAGUUGGNGAGGUAAAGGCUCACCAAGGCGACGAUCCGUAGCGGGUCUGAGAGGACGACCCGCCACACUGGAACUGAGACACGGUCCAGACUCCUACGGGAGGCAGCAGUGGGGAAUUUUGGACAAUGGGGGCAACCCUGAUCCAGCCAU
rnacentral:rRNA from 1 species